UACAGAGGGUGCAAGCGUUGUUCGGAAUUAUUGGGCGUAAAGCGCGUGUAGGCGGCUUUGCAAGUCGGAUGUGAAAUCCCUCGGCUCAACCGAGGAACUGCAUCCGAUACUGGCGGGCUUGAAUCCGGGAGAGGGAUGUGGAAUUCCAGGUGUAGCGGUGAAAUGCGUAGAUAUCUGGAGGAACACCGGUGGCGAAGGCGGCAUCCUGGACCGGUAUUGACGCUGAGGCGCGAAAGCGUGGGGAGCAAACAGG
rnacentral:rRNA from 1 species